rnacentral:rRNA from 1 species
AUGAAGUCAGAUCUUGAUGAAUUUCUGGAACAACUGAACUUGGACGAAGAGGAAUUCGAUGACUUGGUUAUCGACGCAGACGAUCCUGAGAUCAAUGAAAGCAUUAGAUGGCUUGCCCUAGCUAAGGUUCAUACGGACAAAUCCUUUAGCCAAACUGCUUUCUACAGGGAGAUGCGUGUGGCGUGGAAUACAGCCCAGCCGGUUAGGUUUCGGCCGGUGGGACAGAAUCUGUUCGUGGUACAAGCUUCUUGCCUGGGAGAUUGGGAGCGCAUGCUGGAUCAAGGACCGUGGUUGGUCAGGAAUAUGCUUGUGCUGAUGUGCCCAUAUGAUGGUUUUACCAAAGCUGAGGAGGUACCAAUGGUGUUUAUGCCAAUUUGGUUACAAAUUCAUAAACUUCCCAAGGGGUUCUGCAAGCAGAAGAUUGUGCAACAUCUGCUCAGGAACUCCGGUGAGAUCUUGGAGAUGAGACUUAAUGGGAAUACGAGAGGAGACUAUGUCAGAGUGAGGAUCCGUCAUGAUGUUAGCAAGCCUCUUACAAAAUUUGUUAGUAUUGUUCGGGGCCAUGAGAGGCAGGUCUUCUUGGUUCCUUAUGAGAAAUUGGCCCGCUUUUGCAGUGUUUGCGGCUUAAUUGGUCAUGAGUAUAAAGAAUGUGGUAGUGGUAUUCAUGAAGAGAAGGAUAAGAAGUAUGGGCGUGGUUAUAUGUUGAUGGUCCAAACAAACCACGUCAGGAGGAACAUCACACGCGAGGUGGUGCAAGGCAAUAUGAGGCUACACCGCAACGUGAGGUGGGUGGAAAGAAGGUGGUGGAUCCUGACAUGUUGGAUACAGCCACCAGCCCCCCAAAGAAGGGUCAUACUCACAUGCAGGUCGAUCCGGUUGUCAGGAAGAGAUUGGCAAUGGACGGUGUGGGCUCAGAAGAGGUGA